UGUGACAAGCAUCUUGCCUAUAACACAGUUAAAAAUGUGACAAGCGCGUGUCACAAUAAGAAAUUUGUCACGGCGGCGUGUCUAGGUUCAGAGUGAUCAAAGAUUCCGACAAGAAAAGACGCCGCCUCACGCACAUUUGAUUUCAUGCGAACGUAUUUCUUGAUGACGCCGCGUCGUGAUGAGAGCGUGGUUGAAUGCUAUAUGUCAUUUAUAUAUUGGAAUCUGGUUGAAGAACGCGACUAUUUGGGUAUUUGAUUGACUCAUACUUCCUACUUUAUUCUCAGGGAAGUGAGUGCACGCGUGUGCGCGCGUGGUUAAAAUUCUGACCAGCGCGCUUGACGUCAUGGCCGCUGGUGACGUAAUAAUGCAAGUUAGAAAAUAAUAGAAAUCAAAGAGACCCAAGAUAGCUUGCAAGCUACAGAUCUGCGAUGAUCUGGAUAAUUGUAAGCGUAAUAUUGGGGACAUUUUUGGGUAUACUAGACCAUGUAUACCCAAAUCUACAAAUAUUAUAUUUACCAAAAAUGUUAGCGGCAGAGUCGCGCAAUGUAAUUCUUGGAAUUACAGCUUUUUCAGAGCCAAGCCCUCUUCCCGAGUUUCUGGACAAAGGAAUUGGAUACCCAAGGGAGACUACUCUCCCCUUUUACGAGUAUGAGAACACAAUUCACACGCCAG